UACGUAGGGGGCUAGCGUUGUCCGGAUUUAUUGGGCGUAAAGAGCGUGUAGGCGGCCAGGUAGGUCUGCUGUGAAAACUCGAGGCUCAACCUCGAGACGUCGGCGGAAACCAUCUGGCUAGAGUCCGGAAGAGGAGAGUGGAAUUCCUGGUGUAGCGGUGAAAUUCGCAGAUAUCAGGAGGAACACCAAUUGCGAAGGCAGCUCGCUGGGACGUUACUGACGCUGAGACGCGAAAGCGUGGGGAGCAAACAGG
rnacentral:rRNA from 1 species